CUUGAAUCCAAUAAUGUUACUGUAAUAUUUACUUUAACCUUUGUUCAUGUCAGGUUCAUAAUAAUCAAAACCUGUGAGGAUCUGAUAACAAUGGGUGAGAAAGGCCGCUGAUCUUUCUUGAUGUCUCUUUGCCUUAGUAGUUAACAAUAUAAAAUCAUAGUAUGAGCCAUGAAAGCCCAGCCUUCUAUUUGUCUUGUGUGCAAUAUAACGGUGAUGGCUCAUAUUUAUUUUCAUAUUCUAAUCUGUAAACAUCUGCAGAUUUCACUGACUUUUACAACUAAGUGUCAUUAAUAUUAUGAGUCACUAACCUAGCAUCUCUGCUGGCCCAUCCUAUUCAGGUGACUUCUCUAUGUCUCAGAGAGAGAAUCCAAUCAUAAUAAAGGAUUCUCUUCAAAGACAAUGGAUUACCUUUGUUGAGCUGCCUGAGGCUCUCACUUCUGAUAUCUACUUUCUGCUACCACCAAUCAUCACAUUUGCUCUGUUUGGAUCUCUUAUGAAAAGAUAAAAUCACUUUGCCAUUAGGCCAGAAACCACCGAAGUGCUCCCUCAGGAAGAACUGGCAUUGUGCUAACCCAAAUACAGCUUCCAAUUGAAC
rnacentral:lncRNA from 1 species